rnacentral:rRNA from 1 species
UACGUAGGUGGCAAGCGUUGUCCGGAUUUACUGGGCGUAAAGAGCGCGCAGGCGGUUAUUCAAGUCGAAUGUGAAAGCCCCCGGCUUAACUGGGGAGGGUCAUUCGAUACUGUUUAACUUGAAGGCAGGAGAGGGUAGUGGAAUUCCCGGUGUAGUGGUGAAAUGCGUAGAUAUCUGGAGGAACACCGGUGGCGAAGGCGGCAUCCUGGACCGAGAUUGACGCUGAGGCGCGAAAGCCAGGGGAGCAAACGGG